rnacentral:rRNA from 1 species
AUUGAACGCUGGCGGCAGGCUUAACACAUGCAAGUCGAACGAUGAAACUCUAGCUUGCUAGAGAAGAUUAGUGGCGGACGGGUGAGUAACAUUUAGGAAUCUGCCUAGUAGUGGGGGAUAGCUCGGGGAAACUCGAAUUAAUACCGCAUACGACCUACGGGUGAAAGGGGGCGCAAGCUCUUGCUAUUAGAUGAGCCUAAAUCAGAUUAGCUAGUUGGUGGGGUAAAGGCCCACCAAGGCGACGAUCUGUAACUGGUCUGAGAGGAUGAUCAGUCACACCGGAACUGAGACACGGUCCGGACUCCUACGGGAGGCAGCAGUGGGGAAUAUUGGACAAUGGGGGCAACCCUGAUCCAGCCAUGCCGCGUGUGUGAAGAAGGCCUUUUGGUUGUAAAGCACUUUAAGCAGGGAGGAGAGGCUAAUGGUUAAUACCCUUUAGAUUAGACGUUACCUGCAGAAUAAGCACCGGCUAACUCUGUGCCAGCAGCCGCGGUAAUACAGAGGGUGCGAGCGUUAAUCGGAAUUACUGGGCGUAAAGCGAGUGUAGGUGGCUCAUUAAGUCACAUGUGAAAUCCCCGGGCUUAACCUGGGAACUGCAUGUGAUACUGGUGGUGCUAGAAUAUGUGAGAGGGAAGUAGAAUUCCAGGUGUAGCGGUGAAAUGCGUAGAGAUCUGGAGGAAUACCGAUGGCGAAGGCAGCUUCCUGGCAUAAUAUUGACACUGAGAUUCGAAAGCGUGGGUAGCAAACAGGAUUAGAUACCCUGGUAGUCCACGCCGUAAACGAUGUCUACUAGCCGUUGGGGUCCUUGAGACUUUAGUGGCGCAGUUAACGCGAUAAGUAGACCGCCUGGGGAGUACGGCCGCAAGGUUAAAACUCAAAUGAAUUGACGGGGGCCCGCACAAGCGGUGGAGCAUGUGGUUUAAUUCGAUGCAACGCGAAGAACCUUACCUGGUCUUGACAUAGUGAGAAUCUUUCAGAGAUGAGAGAGUGCCUUCGGGAAUUCACAUACAGGUGCUGCAUGGCUGUCGUCAGCUCGUGUCGUGAGAUGUUGGGUUAAGUCCCGCAACGAGCGCAACCCUUUUCCUUAUUUGCCAGCGGGUUAAGCCGGGAACUUUAAGGAUACUGCCAGUGACAAACUGGAGGAAGGCGGGGACGACGUCAAGUCAUCAUGGCCCUUACGACCAGGGCUACACACGUGCUACAAUGGUAGGUACAGAGGGUUGCUACACAGCGAUGUGAUGCUAAUCUCAAAAAGCCUAUCGUAGUCCGGAUUGGAGUCUGCAACUCGACUCCAUGAAGUCGGAAUCGCUAGUAAUCGCAGAUCAGAAUGCUGCGGUGAAUACGUUCCCGGGCCU